CGGCGCCAGGUAACUGGCAACACUUCUUACGCACUCGCUGCCUAGUCAGUGAGCGUCCUCCCGGUCUCCGCCCCGCGGGCCGGGAAGGGCGUAAUUUGCGGGGCUGCGGUCCGCUGAUCGCUCGGUAGGCGGACCAAAGAUCCACGGGCUGGCGGGACCGGAAGCGAGUCAGUGCGCGUCCGGGACCGCGAGACAACAAACCGCUGGCUACGCUCGUAGACGCGAUACGGUCAAGGGCCUUGGACGGGGAGUUCGACCCUCCCCCAUCUCCACCA
rnacentral:tmRNA from 1 species